rnacentral:rRNA from 1 species
GCUGGCGGCGUGCUUAACACAUGCAAGUCGAACGCGAAGGGGCUUCGGCCCUAAGUAGAGUGGCGCACGGGUGAGUAACGCGUAAGUGAUCUACCCCUGUAUCUGGAAUAACUAUGGGAAACUGUAGCUAAUACCGGAUACGUUCAUGUGAUUGCGAUUAUGUGAAGAAAGAUGGCCUCUGACAUAAGCUAUCGUACAGGGAGGAGCUUGCGUACCAUUAGCUAGUUGGCAGGGUAAAGGCCUACCAAGGCGACGAUGGUUAGCGGGUCUGAGAGGAUGAUCCGCCACACUGGAACUGAAACACGGACCAGACUCCUACGGGAGGCAGCAGUGAGGAAUAUUGCGCAAUGGGGGCAACCCUGACGCAGCGACGCCGCGUGGAUGAUGAAGGCCUUCGGGUCGUAAAAUCCUGUCGGAUGGAAAGAAGUGUGAUGUGGUUAAUACCCAUGUCAUUUGACGGUACCAUCAGAGGAAGCACCGGCUAACUCCGUGCCAGCAGCCGCGGUAAUACGGAGGGUGCAAGCGUUGUUCGGAAUUACUGGGCGUAAAGCGCGCGUAGGCGGUUUGUUAAGUCAGAUGUGAAAGCCCCGGGCUUAACCUGGGACGUGCAUUUGAAACUGUCAGACUUGAGUAUUGGAGGGGGGUGGUGGAAUUUCCGGUGUA